ensembl:lncRNA
AGGAGAGAAUCUCCUCCAGGAAUUUAUGACCUGCCUAACAGAGCCUGGUGUCGGGAGUAUAGAGAGAGAGGGGAUGGUGCUUGCUGUACCCAAAGAGUGAUUUUAAAGUUAGAUACUGGAUGUAUUCAGUCGGGAACAAAGGCAUGUUAGCGUUAGCUAACGUUAGCUAAACCAUUUCUGCCUCAAUGGGUAACUAGCAGUAGCUAGUUAGCUAUUAGCUCACAUUAAAUUGCACAAGAGGUCACCGAAUUGACCAGUCAACAGAAGCUAGCUAACGGGUGACUUUUAACACAGAUCAGUGAAGAGGAAGUAGGACUUGGACAAUUUGGACGACACGUCGAAGUCCAUGGAGCUCGUUGUUGCACGUCAUGGAGCAGAGGGCAAACAUCCACUCAGAGACACCCCAGGCAGUGGCUGAGACGACAGGGUGAGAACACAAAACCACAGGGCGUCGGUCUGGACCCGGAGGAACAUGAGGGGGAAUACAUUGAGAGGAUUGGAGAGGACCUGAGCCCUAGGACCAUGCCUCAGGUCUACCCGGCCUGAUGACUACUUGCGGUCCCCAGUCCACCUGGCCCUGCUGCUGCUCCAGUUUAAACUGUUCUGCCUGCGGCUAUGGAACCAUGACCUGUUCACCGGACGUGCUACUUGUCCCAGACCUGAUGUUUUCAACUCUCAAGAGACAGCAGGAGCGGUAGAGAUACUCUGAAUGAUCGGCUAUGAAAAGCCAGCUGACAUUUACUCCUGAGGUGCUGACCUGUUGCACCAUUGACAACCACUGUGAUUAUUAUUAUUUGACCCUGCUGGUCAUCUAUGAACAUUUGAGCAUAUUGGCCAUGUUCUGUAAUAAUCUCCACCCGGCACAGCCAGAAGAGGACUGGCCACCCCUCAUAGCCUGGUUCCUCUCUAGGUUUCUUCCUAGGUUCUGGCCUUCCUGAGGAGUUUCUCCUAGCCACUGUGCUUCUACACCUGCAUUGCUUGCUGUUUGGGGUUUUAGGCUGGGUUUCUGUACAGCACUUUGAGAUAUCAGCUGAUGUAAGAAGG